CAGAGGGUGCGAGCGUUGUCCGGAAUCACUGGGCGUAAAGGGCGCGUAGGUGGCGACCCAAGUCUGUGGUGAAAGCUCGACGCUCAACGUCGAGUCGGCCAUAGAUACUGGGUUGCUUGAGCACUGUAGAGGCAGAUGGAAUUCCGGGUGUAGCGGUGGAAUGCGUAGAGAUCCGGAAGAACGACCGGUGGCGAAGGCGGUCUGCUGGGCAGUUGCUGGACACUGAGGCGG
rnacentral:rRNA from 1 species